rnacentral:rRNA from 1 species
UACAGAGGUCUCAAGCGUUGUUCGGAUUCAUUGGGCGUAAAGGGUGCGUAGGUGGCAUGGUAAGUCGGAUGUGAAAUCCCAGGGCUCAACCCCGGAACUGCAUUCGAUACUGCUGCGCUAGAGUACUGGAGAGGAGAUUGGAAUUUACGGUGUAGCAGUGAAAUGCGUAGAUAUCGUAAGGAAGACCAGUGGCGAAGGCGGAUCUCUGGACAGUUACUGACACUGAGGCACGAAGGCCAGGGGAGCAAACGGG